AACCAUAGAAACCUGCGGAGUACCUGCGGAAGGAUCAUUACAAAUCAAAUUGGGUGUGUGUGUUUGUUGUUGCUGAUUCUUUUUCCAAGUAAUCUUGGAUGAAGCAAGCAACACACACACACACACAACAUUAGCACAAGGUGAAAAGUAAUUUUACCUUGAUGUUUACGCUUGCUUGUUUGACAAAGUUAUAUUAUGAGGCAAAAUAUAAAGACAACUUUCAGCAAUGGAUCUCAGAUC
rnacentral:misc_RNA from 1 species